GAGGUGCUUGCACCUUAUCUUAGCGGCGGACGGGUGAGUAAUGCUUAGGAAUCUGCCUAUUAGUGGGGGACAACAUUCCGAAAGGGAUGCUAAUACCGCAUACGUCCUACGGGAGAAAGCAGGGGAUCUUCGGACCUUGCGCUAAUAGAUGAGCCUAAGUCGGAUUAGCUAGUUGGUGGGGUAAAGGCCUACCAAGGCGACGAUCUGUAGCGGGUCUGAGAGGAUGAUCCGCCACACUGGGACUGAGACACGGCCCAGACUCCUACGGGAGGCAGCAGUGGGGAAUAUUGGACAAUGGGGGGAACCCUGAUCCAGCCAUGCCGCGUGUGUGAAGAAGGCCUUAUGGUUGUAAAGCACUUUAAGCGAGGAGGAGGCUACUGAGACUAAUACUCUUGGAUAGUGGACGUUACUCGCAGAAUAAGCACCGGCUAACUCUGUGCCAGCAGCCGCGGUAAUACAGAGGGUGCGAGCGUUAAUCGGAUUUACUGGGCGUAAAGCGUGCGUAGGCGGCUUUUUAAGUCGGAUGUGAAAUCCCCGAGCUUAACUUGGGAAUUGCAUUCGAUACUGGGAAGCUAGAGUAUGGGGGAGGAUGGUAGAAUUCCAGGUGUAGCGGUGAAAUGCGUAGAGAUCUGGAGGAAUACCGAUGGCGAAGGCAGCCAUCUGGCC
rnacentral:rRNA from 1 species